UACGUAGGGUGCGAGCGUUGCCCGGAUUUAUUGGGCGUAAAGGCGCGUAGGCGGCCACGCACGUCCGUUGUGAAAUCGCCCGGCUCAACUGGGCGGGGUCGGCGGAUACGGCGUGGCUGGAGCAAGCUAGGGGGCAAUGGAAUCCCGGUGUAGUGGUGGAAUGCGUAGAUAUCGGGGAGGAACACCAGUGGCGAAGGCGGUUGCCUGGAGCUUUUGCU
rnacentral:rRNA from 1 species